AAAUGGCACCGUAACUUCGGGAGAAGGUGCGCCGGCUAGGGUGAAGGAUUUACUCCGUAAGCUCUGGCUGGUCGAAGAUACCAGGCCGCUGCGACUGUUUAUUAAAAACACAGCACUCUGCAAACACGAAAGUGGACGUAUAGGGUGUGACGCCUGCCCGGUGCCGGAAGGUUAAUUGAUGGGGUUAGCGCAAGCGAAGCUCUUGAUCGAAGCCCCGGUAAACGGCGGCCGUAACUAUAACGGUCCUAAGGUAGCGAAAUUCCUUGUCGGGUAAGUUCCGACCUGCACGAAUGGCGUAACGAUGGCGGCGCUGUCUCCACCCGAGACUCAGUGAAAUUGAAAUCGCUGUGAAGAUGCAGUGUAUCCGCGGCUAGACGGAAAGACCCCGUGAACCUUUACUGUAGCUUUGCACUGGACUUUGAGCCUGCUUGUGUAGGAUAGGUGGGAGGCUUUGAAGCGUGGACGCCAGUUCGCGUGGAGCCAUCCUUGAAAUACCACCCUGGCAUGCUUGAGGUUCUAACUCUGGUCCGUGAUCCGGAUCGAGGACAGUGUAUGGUGGGCAGUUUGACUGGGGCGGUCUCCUCCUAAAGAGUAACGGAGGAGUACGAAGGUGCGCUCAGACCGGUCGGAAAUCGGUCGCAGAGUAUAAAGGCAAAAGCGCGCUUGACUGCGAGACAGACACGUCGAGCAGGUACGAAAGUAGGUCUUAGUGAUCCGGUGGUUCUGUAUGGAAGGGCCAUCGCUCAACGGAUAAAAGGUACUCCGGGGAUAACAGGCUGAUACCGCCCAAGAGUUCAUAUCGACGGCGGUGUUUGGCACCUCGAUGUCGGCUCAUCACAUCCUGGGGCUGAAGCCGGUCCCAAGGGUAUGGCUGUUCGCCAUUUAAAGUGGUACGCGAGCUGGGUUUAGAACGUCGUGAGACAGUUCGGUCCCUAUCUGCCGUGGACGUUUGAGAUUUGAGAGGGGCUGCUCCUAGUACGAGAGGACCGGAGUGGACGAACCUCUGGUGUUCCGGUUGUCACGCCAGUGGCAUUGCCGGGUAGCUAUGUUCGGAAAAGAUAACCGCUGAAAGCAUCUAAGCGGGAAACUUGCCUCAAGAUGAGAUCUCACUGGGAACUUGAUUCCCCUGAAGGGCCGUCGAAGACUACGACGUUGAUAGGCUGGGUGUGUAAGCGUUGUGAGGCGUUGAGCUAACCAGUACUAAUUGCCCGUGAGGCUUGACCAUAUAACACCCAAACA
rnacentral:rRNA from 1 species